rnacentral:misc_RNA from 1 species
UUUGGUGUCAGCCUUUGAAGUCCCA